rnacentral:rRNA from 1 species
CUACGGGCGGCUCCAGUGAGGAAUAUUGCACAAUGGGGGGAACCCUGAUGCAGCAACGCCGCGUGGAGGAUGACACUUUUCGGAGCGUAAACUCCUUUUAUAUAGGAAGAAGAUGACGGUACUAUAUGGAUAAGCGCCGGCUAACUCCGUGCCAGCAGCCGCGGUAAUACGGAGGGCGCAAGCGUUACUCGGAAUCACUGGGCGUAAAGAGCGUGUAGGCGGAUUAAAAAGUCAGAAGUGAAAUCCUAUAGCUUAACUAUAGAACUGCUUCUGAAACUCUUAAUCUAGAAUAUGGGAGAGGUAGAUGGAAUUUCUGGUGUAGGGGUAAAAUCCGUAGAGAUCAGAAGGAAUACCGAUUGCGAAGGCGAUCUACUAGAACAUUAUUGACGCUGAGACGCGAAAGCGUGGGGAGCAAACAGGAUUAGAUACCCGCGUAGUC